rnacentral:rRNA from 2 species
AAAUUGAAGAGUUUGAUCAUGGCUCAGAUUGAACGCUGGCGGCAGGCCUAACACAUGCAAGUCGAACGGUAACAGGAAGCAGCUUGCUGCUUCGCUGACGAGUGGCGGACGGGUGAGUAAUGUCUGGGAAACUGCCUGAUGGAGGGGGAUAACUACUGGAAACGGUGGCUAAUACCGCAUAACGUCGCAAGACCAAAGAGGGGGACCUUCGGGCCUCUUGCCAUCAGAUGUGCCCAGAUGGGAUUAGCUUGUUGGUGAGGUAACGGCUCACCAAGGCGACGAUCCCUAGCUGGUCUGAGAGGAUGACCAGCCACACUGGAACUGAGACACGGUCCAGACUCCUACGGGAGGCAGCAGUGGGGAAUAUUGCACAAUGGGCGCAAGCCUGAUGCAGCCAUGCCGCGUGUAUGAAGAAGGCCUUAGGGUUGUAAAGUACUUUCAGCGGGGAGGAAGGUGUUG